ACCUUUUGAUUUCUCCUCUACAGUUUCCCUAUAACUUUGAGGAAUCAGAUUCCAUCUGUGUCCUCUCCGUUAUCAUUCUUAUUGUUAUUCUUAGUUAGAUCUGCGACUGUGAGAACAAUUUGAUAUUAGAGUUCCAUAGUAGUUUUGUAGUCUUCAUUUUUAUGACGAAGAUUUGGUGGGUGAAUUGCACCUGUGGUUGACGCUGCCGUUGUUAUGUGUUGACGUUCACGUGUUGAUCAGUGUCUUCCGAAUUUGAUAGAUGCUCAUAACUCUGUCCUUUGUCGUAUGUGUGGUUAUUGAUUUGGGCCUGAUAGGCAUAUAUACGUUGUGGCGUGUACAGAUGGCUAAAUUCAAUCUCAUCUUGUAAUAUCUGUAAAGCUGGAAGACGAAGAUGACUAGGCCUGAAACACAAGGCAAAAAUAGAUGCCUUAUCACACGUUUUAGCUCCUAUAGGUAUGACAAAGAAUUUUCCUGGGCACUAGGCUUGUCAUAUCGUAUAGAGUAACAUGUUUUGAAGCUUUUGUAAAGUUUUUCCUUUGUUUGUGCUUUGAGUGCACCGCCUUUUUCAAUUGAUUAUGGCUUCUCAACAUACUUAUAUCCGCCUUAUAUGUUUAUUCUUGACAAUCAUGACUGCCAAGUGGGUGAAGUGACAAGUUUGUCUUUGUUGCUAUGUUAUUUGCAUCAUUCAAGUGCUCGUGUCACUAAUCUCAUGAUAUCCUUUAACCUUUAACAUAUGUUGAAAUGCAAAGAUGGCACUAGAGUGAUAGGAGGUGUGAUUGGGAAUUGGGUAGAAACAAAGCAUACUACUAGCGUGUUUGUUACUUACAGUUCAAAAUAGAUGUAUUUCCUACCAUACUUGAUUUGUAUAUAUAAGGGCCUGUUUGUUGGAUAAUAAUCAUCUUUCACACAUCAUCCACUUUGUCAUUUCUGUUAUCUAUUUUGGUUUACUUGUAUUCCUAAAGGUAUAUCUUCUUCCUGAACGUAUCUCAACGAGGCUUUCACAUCCAGGUUCAGCUGCCACAAACAUAAAUGUGGCUAUGUUGGAAGAUGGUACAGAAAUGUUCAUGCCGCUCUACGUUAUUUGCAUAAAGCAUUAUUAUUAGUAUAGUUAUGUUUGUAUAUUCACCAGAAUAGUCAUCUAAUUGCAGGAGUUUACCACAGAUGGAGUGCAGUCUAGAAGUUAGAAUGAUGGAACGCUAUAUCCUGCUAUACAGGGUAUGCAAGAAUAGUGGGAUUUCUAUUACUGGAAGUAUUACAUAUGCUUUGUAUCUUUGCAACCUUGCCCCCAGUCAUGAGUUAUUGGCAGGGGAUCUUUGGUUAUGAGUUCUAAUAAUUAAAAAUUUAAAUGUAGUCAUCAAGCCUUACUCAGACACAUGUUUUUUCUGCAAAUGAUUUGUGGUAUGAGCAUGGAUGCCAUUCUUUCCUGAAUGAACAUAUAUUGGUGAUCAGCAGAUGCUUUGUGUUCUACAAAUGGAGCUACCUAGAGAUAGUUGUAUAAUACUAAUUGUUACUUCUGAACCACCUGUCGUAUCUGUAAUGAGUCGUCUAAGCUAUAAAAUUGUUGCCCCUGUGUUCAUAUGUGCCUAUCAUUAUCUACGAUGCUUGUCGUAUCUAUAAUGAGUCGUCUGGGCUAUAAAACCGUUGCCUGUGUUAAUAUGUGCAUGUCUUCGUUAUUUCCGGACGGAGGGAGUAGAUUUUAUGCAUGUGCAUUUUCUGUACCUUAUUUUUCCCACCACCAAGAUGCUCAUGUCAGUGCUUCUAAGCCUAAUCUAUUUUAUGCAUGUGCACUACUCAAAUACGACAGCUAGAUUAGUGCGCACAAUCCUGCCUCAAGAGGCGCCACAGGUGCCGCCCCAACCACUAGUUAAACCCACCGCUUGUGCCACGUCGAUCGCGUGGGUUGGCCAGGAAGGUCUCCUCCUUCUGUUUUGAGUGGGCCACGUGUUGCAUGUUGACUGGGGGUAACAGGGAAAAACGGACCGGCCACCUCUACCUUUCUGCGCUGGCUUCGCCUACCCAAACGCUAUCGUCCCGCCGCCGCCGCGACGCGUCUCUACUGCUCUUCUCCCCCACCACCUCCGGCUCGAGGAAGGGGUACGCCGCCGCCUCACGCUCUCCAGCGCCACCGACGCGGGGGACGCGCCUCCCCUCCCACCCACGCCGCUGCGGGCCAGCGACUCCCCUGCCACCGAGGACCCCAUCCUCCUCGGUGUGAGCGACGACCGCAUCCCGAGGGCGUCAUCCAGGUCGAGAGGCCCGGCCAGGUCUACGCCCAGUCCAAGAUCGUCUUCCACGCGUGAUCCCAUCACCCCGGACCGCCAUUCCUCAUUUGUAUUUAUGUUUGUCUUCGAUUCGCACAUUCAGUUGGUUUGCUCGGGAAGAUAUAUAUGGCUUCUGGCCGGAGAGGAUCUGCUUUGCCUCCUGAUCUUCUCCGCGUUGGGGAGGUUGGUUGCUUAGCGCCUACUCCUUGCCGGAUUUGGUGAUGAUGCCAAAGGAAGCAAUGGUGUUGGGAAGGCUGUAGCGGUUCGAGCAGAAAGUGUUCAGUUCAUCUUUCAUGGUUAAUUCUUUGCAACAAUUUGAUAAGAUGCUGAAAUCAAAGGUGUAGCCUCUAUUUGAUGAGCAGAGUUGCUAUAAACUCGACUAGAACACAAGGAGGAGUAUGGGUCUGCAUGUACAUAUAAGAAGAAGAUGGCUUGUGGUGAUUUGUGUCUGUUUUCAGUUGUGUCCACAACGAGAUCUUCAUCAUAGACCUCAAGAAGGGCGCCGUCUCCAUAGGCCAUGCCGUGUCAUUGCACCUGUUUAUGCUGAAAUGUCAAAGAAUUAUCCUCAACUGAUGUUCCUGCCAAUUGAUGUUGAUGACCUAAUGGUAAUUCCAUCUUACAUUUGUUUGGGUAAAAUGACCCUAAAAAGUCCAGUUGGACAUGUAAUAUUGACCGAUGCUUUGUUAAUUCACAAAUGUUCAGCCAAACCUCAAAGUAUGCAGUGUAUCUUCUUAUCUUGUUAUUUCCUGUUUCAAAGAAAUGUAGGCAAACACAUAAAUAUGUAUGCAGUCCUGUAUAUUUUUAUCUUGCCAUUCCCUGUUUCAAAGAAAUAUAUGCAAACAGGUAAAUAUUUGUUACUGCCAAUUUUGUGGAGUGUGGUGGAGUGCUUUUGUCACCCUGAUAGCUCGACGCUGUGAUGAAGAGCGGGUUGUUCUGGUGCUUCCAGAGUUGACCCGCCUUAGUUAGCUACUUAGCUUUAGAUGUGAUCACUAAUGCUUAUUAACUGUAGUUGUAGUUUCAGAAGUAGCAUGCUAGCAGUCAUAUAUUGGCUAAGUCGCAUUUGUGUUCGGUACAUUAAGAUGAAAAUCACAAGAAUUCCGAUGAAAGACAUCAUGCUGAUUCUGACGUGGAAAAGGAUGAUGCCAAGCCUCUGGAGGACUUUGAAAGUACUCAGUGUGUGAGAGUUAAGAGAGAAUCUGCUGAAACUGAGGUGAUAACAGAUCAGGUAAUUUACUUCUAUUUUAACAGAGCAGUACUCAGAGUGAUGCCUUGUCUCUCUAGUGCUUGCAAGCAUUUUGACGUUUAGGGCUUUCGGUUCCCUUUUUAGAUAUGUGAUAAGGCAACCCAUGCAAAAAAAAUUCACUGGGAAAAACUACAGUCUCUUGACAAAGUUACAGAUGCUUUGUUUAACUUGAUGAUCCAUAAACAAGAUAUAGAUCUGCAGCUCAUUAGAAUUCAACUUUUUUGCCUGCUGCUUAUCGUCCAUCGCAUCUUUAUGGUUGCAUUUGCAUGUUCAGAACUGGUUUGACCAUCUCCUAUAUGAAUGUAUGCCAUAUGCGUAUGCUUGGUGUGCCAGUUAAAAGAUGUGGUGUGCCAGUUAAAAGAUGCAAAUGGUAAACGACAAGACAGAACAUCCUUAUGUUCCUAAGUCUAUAUUAGUUAUUUUAGAUCUUUAAGAUAUCGUACAGACAAGAAAUCGCAUGCAUGAUAGUAUAACACAUAUCCAUCUGAACUAAAAUUGGGUGUACCAAGGGCUGGGGCAACUGGGUUAGGGUAUAAAUAAAUAUGUUUCUUUGUGCUGAUUUUUCCUUAUCAUCUUGCUAUGUUCGUCCAGCUAGGGAAUCACGAGGUUUUCAUGUCCAACGGAACACAAGCCUUUUUUAAAUACAUGUUACUUCAGGCACCGCGUUUCAGAUCCACGCCGCUUUAUUCAUGUGUUGGGUUGCCAUUUUCGAGCCACUUAAUUUACGGGUUGGGAUUGUUGUCACGGUUGUUUAAUACCAAAUAUAUUAUCCGGAUUGCUAGAUUUUUAUUUGUGUUCGUAUCAGAGGCUGCAAAGAAUCUUGUAGUUGCGACGACAGCGGCACCUUCAGUUCGUGCUUUGAGGGCACCUAUUACAAAUACAUCUUACGGAUCAGGUAUGUAUCAUAUGGCUGCUUGUCUCUCCAGCACACAUGAAUUAUAGCCUUAAUCGUGUGCAGAAGUAACCUUUUAUGUCCCCUUUGGGCGCUGCUAUCGUCCUCGCACCGUCGCGCGCGGCGUCGGAGACACGGAUGAGGUCGAGCAGUCUGUGCUUUCGUGUUCUUUCCUUGGCGUGUGGAGCCGAGGAUUCGGACGAGGAAGCCAAGCAAUCUGUGGCAUCUUCACCGGCGUCCUCUUGGUGUGCGGCUCUGGAGGGAUGGACAAGAAGGAAGAGCUGGAAGUGCAGCUAUAUCUGUAGUGGUUUGUUUGAUGGGGAACUAUCUUUGUAUGCCAGUAUACGCUGUAGUGGUUUGUAUUGAUGAUUCCAUGCUGAAUUUCUACUCAGUACCAAAUGAAUAAACUGUCACCGCACUAAGCCGAGUUCAUGCAAUUGUGUUACGCAAAUCGGAAA